rnacentral:rRNA from 1 species
GGAUUAGAUACCCUGGUAGUCCAUGCCGUAAACGUUGGGCACUAGGUGUGGGGUCUGUUUCCACGGGUUCCGUGCCGUAGCUAACGCAUUAAGUGCCCCGCCUGGGGAGUACGGCCGCAAGGCUAAAACUCAAAGGAAUUGACGGGGGCCCGCACAAGCGGCGGAGCAUGCGGAUUAAUUCGAUGCAACGCGAAGAACCUUACCAAGGCUUGACAUGCACUGGAAGCGCUCAGAGAUGGGUGUGCCUUUUGGGCCGGUGCACAGGUGGUGCAUGGUUGUCGUCAGCUCGUGCCG